rnacentral:rRNA from 1 species
UACGAGAGCCCCGAGCGUUAUCCGGAAUUAUUGGGCGUAAAGGGUGCGUAGGUGGUUGUGUUAGUCGUUUGUUAAAUCCUUGGGCUUAACCUAAGAAUCGCGAACGAAACGGCACAACUAGAGAGUGUGAGGGGUAUAGGGAACUCAUGGUGUAGGGGUGAAAUCCGUUGAUAUCAUGGGGAACACCAAAAGCGAAGGCACUAUACUGGCACAUAUCUGACACUCAAGCACGAAAGCGUGGGUAGCGAAUGGG